GAUGAACGCCGGCGGUGUGCCUAAUACAUGCAAGUCGUACGCACUGGCCCAACUAAUUGAUGGUGCUUGCACCUGAUUGACGAUGGAUCACCAGUGAGUGGCGGACGGGUGAGUAACACGUAGGUAACCUGCCCCGGAGCGGGGGAUAACAUUUGGAAACAGAUGCUAAUACCGCAUAACAACAAAAGCCGCAUGGCUUUUGUUUGAAAGAUGGCUUUGGCUAUCACCCUGGGAUGGACCUGCGGUGUAUUAGAUAGUUGGUGGGGUAACGGCUCACCAAGUCGACGAUACAUAGGGGGACUGAGAGGUUAACCCCCCACAUUGGUACUGAGACACGGACCAA
rnacentral:rRNA from 1 species